CACGCUGAUGAUCUGUCUAUUCGCAUCGCGACACGCUGACACACACAACCCGAGUGACAGGCGAACGGAACCAACAAUCGAGAAAGAACAGCUGAGUG
rnacentral:sRNA from 2 species